ensembl:lncRNA
GAUCUACACACAGUGAUUUUUCAGCCCAGAAGCCUGAGUGCCCUGAGCCUGAUCUGGGCCACCCACAUGGUUGUUUUUUUUAUCCCUCAUACAGUCUUCCCAGUCGGUGGAGGGUUCAACUGGGUAAUUUGAUUGGUGGGUGGGCUGGGGCGGUGAGAGAACAAGACGCAGAAAAUAAUAGCGUGACCCUAGAAAAAGCGAGCAAGAGAGCUAGUUGCCAGUGCCCUCCCUCUGCGCACCAGAUGCUUGGUUCUACGUGUCACCUUCCCCUCUAGGCGCUGCAAGGGAGGUAACUUGGAUUCACCCAGGUGCCGGAGGGCUGGAACCAGGUGCCACUGGCCCUUGGGCUGCUGCGAGUCAAACUGUCCCCUCCCCCCUCGCUGGCAAAUGCCCCUGUCCAGGUUGCUGCGACUUUAAUGCGAAACCGAAAGCGAAAGGCACCGAAUCCACUGGAAUUAAAUUUCCCCAAACUCUUCUGCGGACUUUUCCAGGCGCCUGGGGCGGAUCCGCCGAGCCGGGACUUUGCGCCCUCACUCACAUGCCCCCCUUUCUGCUGCCUUUCGGGGCUGAAACGUCCCCAGCCUGAUACCCUAAUGAAGCUGCCUACGUCCCGGCCCCAGCCGCCGCCGCCGGGGAUCUGACCCUGCGCCCCCGUCCUGGAGAGGCUGGCGCCCUUCCCUAGCUCUUCCCAUGCCAUGGCCCGGCUGCUGCUCUUGUUGUGCGGCAGCGUCGGGCUCCUGUCCGCCUGCACCAGCGCGGCCGCGCUGCAAGAAAGAUGCAGCACACCAAAGGAGGUCAACAAUGCAGAUGUUACGGUCGGCAAUAAUAAUCUGUUGAAUGCCAGCCUCCGGUACACAUGCAAAGAUGGUUACAAAAGGAAAGCUGGGACAUCCAGUCUCAUUGUGUGUGUAAUGGACAAAGUCACCAAAACACUCCGUUGGACCGAGCCAAAUCUACAUUGUAUUAGGGACCCUGCUCUACCUCCUGUAACUUCCAGCCCCAAACAGACAACAUCAGCACCUAGGACAGAGGCGACUAGUCUUGUCAGCAAAGAAUCAAAGACUUUUACACCAUCUAAACCACCAGUAACUGCAGAGAUUACCACAGUCCCAGUCAUGGCCUCCACACCAUCCUAUGAAAGGGAGAUCACUUCACCACUAGCAGGCCCCGUCUCACAGCUCAGGACUGACAAGCCUUCACGGGAAACACUUGCACCAGCAACAACUGAGAUCAGGUCAUCAAAGGGGCCUGCUUGCGUGAGCACGGAAGACACAACACAACGGCGCACCACAGCCACGCAGGACACACACACGACCCAGCUCUGGACGGAUGAGCCAUUGUUGGAAACAGUUACAACAGAAGGAGAUUGGUCAACAGCAGUGCCAACCAGUGUGACCACAGGAGACUCAACACAGCUUCUCACCGCAGUCACCCAUAACACUAAAGUUUCCGCCCGAGUUAUGCUCUCUUCUGUGGGGUUUCCCAUGUUGCUGACCGUUGUAGCUGUUGUAUUAUGUUGUGUCUGGAGACGGCGAGUCCACAUGAGGCGACAAUACACAAUACCUGUGAUAGCCAUUCCCAUGACCACAGAAGAGUCAGAAGAAAGGGAUGGAACACCACCAGAAGACAAUGGUUCAAACGGUCCAGAACAACGAAGUGAAAGGACAGAGAUGAUGUCAUCAUCUUGUGUGACAUCGACUGGUUGA